ensembl:snRNA U6 U6 spliceosomal RNA
AUGCUCACUUUGGCGGCACUUGUGCUAACAUUGGAAUGACCAUUAACAUGGCCCCUGUGCAAGGAUAGCAUGAGAACUCUUGAAGCAGCCUGUAUGUUU